UCGCUACUACCGAUUGAAUGCUUUAAUGAGUGUCAUGAACGUUGGACUUGUUGUGGGUUUCCAUGACUUGUCUGGUGAAAGUGAAGCAAAUUUGAGCAUUUAGAGGAAGUAA
rnacentral:rRNA from 1 species